GGGAAUUCUGCGCAAUGGGGGAAACCCUGACGCAGCAACGCCGCGUGGAGGAUGAAAUCCCUUGGGAUGUAAACUCCUUUCGAUAGGGAAGAUAAUGACGGUACCUAUAGAAGAAGCCCCGCUAACUUCGUGCCAGCAGCCGCGGUAAUACGAGGGGGGCAAGCGUUGUUCGGAAUUAUUGGGCGUAAAGGGUGCGUAGGCGGUUUGACAAGUCUCAUGUGAAAUCUUCGGGCUCAGCUCGAAGUCUGCAUGGGAAACUGUCGGGCUUGAGUAUGGGAGAGGUGAGUGGAAUUUCCGGUGUAGCGGUGAAAUGCGUAGAUAUCGGAAGGAACACCUGUGGCGAAAGCGGCUCACUGGACCAUAACUGACGCUGAGGCACGAAAGCUAGGGGAGCAAA
rnacentral:rRNA from 1 species